rnacentral:rRNA from 1 species
AUUGAACGCUGGCGGCAGGCCUAACACAUGCAAGUCGAACGAGUGGCGGACGGGUGAGUAAUGUCUGGGAAACUGCCUGAUGGAGGGGGAUAACUACUGGAAACGGUAGCUAAUACCGCAUACCAUCGGAUGUGCCCAGAUGGGAUUAGCUAGUAGGUGGGGUAAAGGCUCACUUAGGCGACGAUCCCUAGCUGGUCUGAGAGGAUGACCAGCCACACGGGAACUGAGAAACGGUCCAGACUCCUACGGGAGGAAGCAGUGGGGAAUAUUGCACAAUGGGCGCAAGCCGGAUGCAGCCAGGCCGCGUGUAUGAAGAAGGCCUUCGGGUUGUAAAGUACUUUCAGCGGGGAGGCGUUACCCGAAGAAGAAGCACCGGCUAACGCCGUGCCAGCAGCCGCGGUAAUUC